rnacentral:rRNA from 1 species
UAUUAAAGGUGAUGCCUGCCCAGUGAAUUCUUAAACGGCCGCGGGAUCCUCCACCGUGCAAAGGUAGCAUAAUCACUUGUCCCCUAAAUAGAGACUAGUAUGAAUGGCCAAAUGAAGAUUUACCUGUCUCUUGUAGUUAAUCUAUGAAACUGAUUUUCCAGUACAAAAGCUGAAAUCACAUCACAAGACGAAAAGACCCUGUGGAACUUUAAAACGGCCACCACACCCAUGGCACCCGCCGCUUUCAGUUGGGGCAACUAUGGAAAAAACAAAACUUCCAUUUAUACACCAGGUGGACACACCUAUUUUUCCCCCAGACCCAGUACUACUGAGAAAAGAACCAAGCUACCCCAGGGAUAACAGCGCCAUCCCCUCCUAGAGCCCCCAUCGACGAGGGGGUUUACGACCUCGAUGUUGGAUCAGGGCCCCCAAACAGUGCAGCAGCUGUUAAAGGUUUGUUUGUUCAACAAUUAAUGCCCUACGCGAUCUGAGUUAAGACCGGAGC